AACGAACGCUGGCGGCAGGCCUAACACAUGCAAGUCGAACGCCCCGCAAGGGGAGUGGCAGACGGGUGAGUAACACGUGGGAACCUACCCUGUGGUACGGAACAACCAAGGGAAACUUUGGCUAAUACCGUAUGAGCCCGAGAGGGGAAAGAUUUAUCGCCAUAAGAUGGGCCCGCGUCGGAUUAGCUAGUUGGUGAGGUAAUGGCUCACCAAGGCGACGAUCCGUAGCUGGUCUGAGAGGAUGACCAGCCACACUGGGACUGAGACACGGCCCAGACUCCUACGGGAGGCAGCAGUGGGGAAUAUUGGACAAUGGGCGCAAGCCUGAUCCAGCCAUGCCGCGUGUGUGAUGAAGGCCUUAGGGUUGUAAAGCACUUUCGCCGAUGAAGAUAAUGACGGUAGUCGGAGAAGAAGCCCCGGCUAACUUCGUGCCAGCCGCCGCCGUAAAAC
rnacentral:rRNA from 1 species